AGCGAACGCUGGCGGCAGGCUUAACACAUGCAAGUCGAACGGUCCUUUCGGGGACAGUGGCGGACGGGUGAGUAACACGUGGGAAUGUGCCUUUAGGUUCGGAAUAACUCAGGGAAACUUGAGCUAAUACCGGAUGUGCCCGUAAGGGGAAAGAUUUAUUGCCUUUAGAGCAGCCCGCGUCUGAUUAGCUAGUUGGUGAGGUAAAGGCUCACCAAGGCGACGAUCAGUAGCUGGUCGAGAGGAUGAUCAGCCACAUUGGGACUGAGACACGGCCCAAACUCCUACGGGAGGCAGCAGUGGGGAAUAUUGGACAAUGGGCGCAAGCCUGAUCCAGCCAUGCCGCGUGAGUGAUGAAGGCCCUAGGGUUGUAAAGCUCUUUCGGCGGGGAAGAUAAUGACGGUACCGCAGAAGAAGCCCCGCCAACUUCGUGCCAGCAGCCGCCGUAAC
rnacentral:rRNA from 1 species